GCCCCUUUGCCUUUCCCUUCGAAAUACAUCAGUGGCGUUGCGAAUGGAGGCCAGUAUGCAUGGGCGACUGCUGGUCUUCCAUGAACAACCUUGCCAGGACUUGUACCUCAGAGGGUAAUUUUCUAGGUACAAUCCCAUGGUCAAUGUCGUGAUCGAAGGGAGUCCCAGAUGGUAAUAAAAGGGUUAAAGAUAUUUUAUAUCAAAGAAUCAGGGUGGUCUCAGACAGGCAGGUAUUAAACCAUUUGUUAGUAAAUUUUUGUUGAAUUACACAUCAAUUCGAUUAAUUUAA